GGCACGUCAGUGGGCAACAUUCUGCAUCCAGUUUAGACUUACCCACUGGGGUGGUGGCUCACUAUGGGCAAACUGAGUUUGCAUGUCUGAUGUGACAUCUUGGUGAUCAGGAAGGCAUUUCAGAUCCACCUGGCAUCACCUAGCAGCACCAAUACCAAUGAAACAACCACUUGCCUUCCUAUAUACCAUCAAUUACAUGGGGAAUCAGUUAAAAAUAAUACUUGAUCUGUAAGCCUACUGAGGAACGCUUUGUAAUCUGUCAUUAGAUCAAUACUCAAGAAUGUGAACGUUCAGCACUGCAGUUAAGUGAAAGAUUCCUAGUUUAGUCCUAUUAGCUGCCCAGGAUACUGCUAGAGCUUAUGGGAUUUCUGCAAAUGAUUUGAACAGGCUUUUGCUCUCUCUGAAUAAUAACACACUCGGGACAUAUAUAGGACAAGUAGAAUUUGGAGACACAUAUGGCAAUGCUACAAGGUGGAAGUAAUUUAGAAAAAUUUCCUUAGGUUUUGGCUAAUUUACUUAAACUAAUUCGUAAUCUCUUUCCUGAAAUGUCAAAUAGCUGUGACAUGUUGAAAUGAAAUGCUUGGUUUUAGCCACUUGGAAGUGAAGUUCCAUGACUCCAGCAUCUGCUCCUGUGCCAAGACUGUGACUAAUGCCUGCUGUUAGUGUUUCUGGGAAAGGGUGGCACUCUUGGGGCAUCUUUUCUUAGUAAUUAAAGAAUGUCUUUAAAGUCACUGUCCAAGGAGGGGAAUAUUCCUUCCAAGUCUUCUUCUCUACUCAGAGCAAACAUCUAGUUUAUAAUCAUUACACAGCAUAGAAGACAAUUAUUCUAUAGUCCCAGCACUUGCACCUAAUACAGAAAAUAAUCACUCAAGAAGCGAAGGGUCAGAUGCUUUUGUUUUUAUGUUUAAGAAAUAUUCUGCAGGUUCAUGAACUGCUCAAUUGUAAUGGUAACUGAUGUAAAAAUGUAAGCUCACUCAAGACGCUCUGACAACAGCUUGAACUUACACAUUUCUUUUCAUCCUUAAUGACCUUUUUUAAAUUCAGGUACGACACACAGACCUUAGGAUGCCUCUACCAGCCCAGCCAUGUUGAGCAACGUCACAUGGCAAGGACUGCCGGUAACUUUCAGAAGUUGAGGGUUAGCAUCUGACCGAGCAUCAGCAAACACCGACGCUCUUAGUUCAACCAUAAGGAACGGAAGGCCGCCCCUUCCAUAGUCUCCACGUGGGAACACAGCCCUGGCUGAUACUUGGCAGUCAUAGAAACCGUAAGGCAGGGAAGCCACGUUCAAUCCACAGAAACAGAUUUAUCCCUUUUGUUACAAGGAUGGCUCCAACCACAACUGAAAGAUGGCUAUCAGCAAAAAAAGGGGACUUUUCUUCAUACUCACUUAAGUGGAGGACAAAGAAUGGUAUCCUAUCUCUCUUAUUUAAGGAAAAAAAUAGAAUUUUCUCAGAAAAGUUUGGCAUUCCAGCCCUGCAGCAGCCCAUUCCAGGAGAAUCACUGAUAGGAGGGAUGGUGUUUUCUUUAAACAAUCCAAUUCUGCCCUUGAUUUGAAGUCAAUUAUAAAAACUAAUUAGGGGAGAGGUAAGUCAACUACAGUGUUCACUACACUUCAUUUUUCAAUUUUAAAUGAAGAAGAUGGAUUAAAUGAUUGGUAAAAUCCUA